rnacentral:rRNA from 1 species
UUGGAGGGCAAGUCUGGUGCCAGCAGCCGCGGUAAUUCCAGCUCCAAUAGCGUAUAUUAAAGUUGUUGCAGUUAAAAAGCUCGUAGUUGAAACUUGGGUCUGGCUGGCAGGUCCGCCUCACCGCGUGUACUUGUCCGGCCGGGCCUUUCCUUCUGGAGAACCUCAUGCCCUUCACUGGGCGUGUUGGGGAACCAGGACUUUUACUUUGAAAAAAUUAGAGUGUUCAAAGCAGGCCUUUGCUCGAAUACGAUAGCAUGGAAUAAUAGAAUAGGACGUGCGGUCCUAUUUUGUUGGUUUCUA